rnacentral:sRNA from 1 species
UUCUGUGUUGUAGCUGUCUGGCCAGGGUGACUGGCGGAUAAGGUCUUGUGCGUGGCCUCGAGGCUUAAAAGUAGCAGCGGUGCUUUGUGAAGGACAAAAUGGCGAUGGCGGGCCGUGCAGGUCCCCCUUCCUAUGAUGAGGACCUUUUCACAGACCUGUACUGAGCUCCGUGAGGAUAAGUACCUCUGAGGAGAUGGGUCCUGCAAGCCUCCUGCUUAGCUGUCUGUUCAGAAAAUAGUGUUUUCGAAAUAACCUGUGUUGACCUAAUGUCUUAUUUGGCUCCUGUCUGCAGGGUUUACGCGCACGUUGGAAUCGAAGAGAGCUCUGUUGUUGCAAUGUUCAGCCCACAAGAGCUUACAGGUGAAGGAAUGGGACAAGACCCAUCUUUAUGCAAAGCCAGCGUUACAGUAAUGUUCCAGGUAGGUGUACAUGGUUUAUGCACUUAUAGAGGAGACCUUGCUAGAUAACCACUCCAUGAUGAACACAAAAUGACAAGCAUAUGGCUGAACUUAUCAAGUGAUGUCAUCUUACUACUGAGAAGUGAGAGAGAGGUCUUAAGGGGUCUUUGAAUGACUAUUUUUAGGUACAUAAAAUGACUUCCUCUGUUUUCUACAGCAUCUCAUAAUCUAUCCUGAGGAAUUCAGCUGCCUCCCAGGGUGAAUACAGGUAAUUAUCCAAAUUGGUAUAUGUCAUCUCUAAAUGUUCACAGGAAAACAAGUGGCCGGCGGAAGCAAUAUUGUUUUUUGGCGCCUUCCAUCUUGUUCCUCUUGAAAUGAUUUUCUGGGGAGGGAGAUCGCAACCCGGUACUACAGUUCUUGUAAGGGUGUGCUGUUACCCUCAUCCAUAUAUCGAUCACGUUACUGUCAGAUGAUUUGA